rnacentral:lncRNA from 1 species
AAACAAAAGGCAAAUUCAUAUUUUCAUUCUCCUCUUCUACAUGGAUGCCGAUGUCUCUCUUUUGAGGGUUCAUUCCUUGCACAAAGGUCAAUAGCUUCAUCCACGUCCUGGAAUAUUUGCAAUUGUAUGACUCAAAACAAAAGGCAAAUUCAUAUUUUCAUUCUCCUCUUCUACAUGGAUGCCGAUGUCUCUCUUUUGGGGGUUCAUUCCUUGCACAAAGGUCAAUAGCUUCAUCCACGUCCUGAGUAUAUCCCGUCGAUCAUGAAACAUGUAUCUAGGUACAGCAGAAUGACUCAUGACAAAUCGAAUGUCUUCAACCACACGAAGAGUAGUUUCAUACAAAUUUCCCCAUUUAAU